rnacentral:rRNA from 1 species
AUACGUAGGGUGCAAGCGUUAAUCGGAAUUACUGGGCGUAAAGCGUGCGCAGGCGGUUUUGUAAGACAGAGGUGAAAUCCCCGGGCUCAACCUGGGAACUGCCUUUGUGACUGCAAGGCUAGAGUACGGCAGAGGGGGAUGGAAUUCCGCGUGUAGCAGUGAAAUGCGUAGAUAUGCGGAGGAACACCGAUGGCGAAGGCAGUCCCCUGGGCCUGUACUGACGCUCAUGCACGAAAGCGUGGGGAGCAAACAGGAUUAGAUACCCUGGUAGUCCACGCCCUAAACGAUGUCAACUGGUUGUUGGGUCUUCAUUGACUCAGUAACGAAGCUAACGCGUGAAGUUGACCGCCUGGGGAGUACGGCCGCAAGGUUGAAACUCAAAUGAAUUGACGGGG